CCUACGGGUGGCUGCAGUGGGGAAUAUUGCACAAUGGGCGCAAGCCUGAUGCAGCAACGCCGCGUGCGGGAUGACGGCCUUCGGGUUGUAAACCGCUUUCAGCAGGGACGAAGCGCAAGUGACGGUACCUGCAGAAGAAGCACCGGCUAACUACGUGCCAGCAGCCGCGGUGAUACGUAGGGUGCGAGCGUUGUCCGGAUUUAUUGGGCGUAAAGAGCGUGUAGGCGGUUAGUCGCGUCGGAAGUGCAAACUCAGGGCUUAACCCCGGGGCUGCUUUUGAUGCGGGGUGACUAGAGGAAGGUAGGGGAGAAUGGAAUUCCCGGUGGAGCGGUGGAAUGCGCAGGUAUCGGGAGGAACACCAGUGGCGAAGGCGGUUCUCUGGACCUUUCCUGACGCUGAGAAGCGAAAGCGUGGGGAGCAAACAGGAUUAGAUACCCCGGUAGUC
rnacentral:rRNA from 1 species